rnacentral:rRNA from 1 species
GACCACGAGCCCGGUUGCGUUUUCUUUUCGUGACGGUUCGAGCCCGGUUGAUAUUCCUCGGUGAUUAGCCGAGCGGCCGAUCCCGAGCGCAACCCAAACCCCUACCGCCUCUGCGACCCGCCGGCCCCCCUCUCCGGCGCUAGUGCUCCGGCGAGCUCUCUGGCUGCCUCGGGAUAGGUGAACGGAAGGCGCCGAACAAGUACUACCCGCCGGACUUCUACCCGGCGAAGAUCCCGCGGCAGAAGCAGCCCAAUAACCAGCAGAUCCAGACAUACUUGGGAAUACAGAUAUUUAGGUUUUAAUUCAGCUGUACUAGGUGCUCAACUGAGAUUACCUUUAAAACAGACCCCCAGAAUUCAGACUAUACGGUGGAAUCUGGGGCUAGUCGAAAUUCUGAGCCUUGGCGUAAAGACAUUGAGGUUGUGGACAAAGAGAAGAGAAAACGAAAAGUGGAGGAGAUGGGCGAUGCAAUGAGAUUACUGGAGAACAGAGCAAACGACUCAAAGCAGGACAUGGACGUAAUUGCUGCUUUAGAAGAGAUGCGGUCCAUGAAGUCGAGACAUGCAGGAGUAUCCGUUGACCAGAUGCUCGAAAUUUUGAAGCACUCUGCUCACCUUAAGAGGAGGAAAAAACAGUAGAAGAACUAGAUGAAGAAGAUGAAGAACUUAUCAAAUCAAUCACUUUCCGAAACUCAAAAGAUUAUGUGAAACAGAUCGAAGAUGAUGACGGCGAUGAUGAAGGUUUCGGUAUGCCAGACCAGUCAAAUGUCACGGCAAAGAUCAAUGGAUCGUCUGAAUCAGUGUUAAAUCCAACAGAUGUCUUGACCAAAACUAAUGGUCCUGAGAGUUCCAACAAAGAAGGAAACAAGUCCGUGGCAUCUAAGAUGCCCAUAUUCAUAGUAAAACCGAAGACCGUUGGCGCUAAUCCUCAGAAGAAACAGAAGAUGAAUCCGCAGCUGUCCAAGAUAACGGCAAAGCACCCGCCGCAGAGGAAAAAAGUGGAGCUUCAGAAGAGAAGACCAAUGUUCUUCAGUUCCUCUGCCAGUAUGAUAGCUUCAAAAGUGAUGACUGAAGACAACACGUCUUGGAGUCACAUCUGCGCCUGAGGAGACUAGCACCGCUGUAAGCACGAUGGUGCAACUCAGAAUGUAAUUGUCUACUUCAGCAAAGUCUCGCCUGCCCUUUCCAGGGAGUAAAUAAACUCUCUAAUGCAAACUGUAAGCUUAUACUGUUGCAAAUCUAUGGCAGCUAAUAAUAGUCCAGAUAUAUCCGUGUUAGAAAGAUUUUUUUAAUAAAAUCUACAAAUUCAGAGCAGUUGAAGAAUUAUAUCUGGGGAUCAUAUUACUGAUAUCUUGUAAAAGAACUGACAAAAAUUCAAGGGAAGCAACACUCAGAUUGUGGAUAGCUCUCUGUUCCGAUUUGUCCAUUUGUGUUCAUGUCUUCGUCGUGUGAGCCUAUGUAUGUUUCUGUACAUUUCUUAUGUAGUUUUCUUUUUGCUAAUGAACAUUUCUUAUGUACUCC